rnacentral:rRNA from 1 species
GAUGAACGCUAGCUACAGGCUUAACACAUGCAAGUCGAGGGGUAACGAGAGGAAAGCUUGCUUUCCUUGUCGACGACCGGCGCACGGGUGAGUAACGCGUAUCCAACCUGCCCCCAACUAGGGAAUAACCUUGCGAAAGUAAGACUAAUACCCUAUAAUUUCCUCAGAUGUCAUCUGACGAGGAAUAAAGAUUUAUCGGUUGUGGAUGGGGAUGCGUCUGAUUAGCUUGUUGGCGGGGUAACGGCCCACCAAGGCAACGAUCAGUAGGGGUUCUGAGGGGAAGGUCCCCCAGAUUGGAACUGAGACACGUUCCAAACUCCUACUGGACGCAGAAGUGAGGAAUAUUGGUCGGUGGGCGGAAGCCUGAACCAGCCAAGUAGCGUGCAGGAUGACGGGCCUAUGGGUUGUAAACUGCUUUUAUACAGGAAUAAAGUUAGCCACGUAUGGUUAUUUGUAGGUACUGUAUGAAUAAGGACCGGCUAAUUCCGUGCCAGCCGCCGCCGUAA